rnacentral:rRNA from 1 species
UAGGGAAUCUUCGGCAAUGGGGGCAACCCUGACCGAGCAACGCCGCGUGAGUGAAGAAGGUUUUCGGAUCGUAAAGCUCUGUUGUAAGUCAAGAACGAGUGUGAGAGUGGAAAGUUCACACUGUGACGGCAGCUUACCAGAAAGGGACGGCUAACUACGUGCCAGCAGCCGCGGUAAUACGUAGGUCCCGAGCGUUGUCCGGAUUUAUUGGGCGUAAAGCGAGCGCAGGCGGUUUGAUAAGUCUGAAGUUAAAGGCUGUGGCUCAACCAUAGUUCGCUUUGGAAACUGUCAAACUUGAGUGCAGAAGGGGAGAGUGGAAUUCCAUGUGUAGCGGUGAAAUGCGUAGAUAUAUGGAGGAACACCGGUGGCGAAAGCGGCUCUCUGGUCUGUAACUGACGCUGAGGCUCGAAAGCGUGGGGAGCGAACAGGAUUAGAUACCCUGGUAGUCCACGCCGUAAACGAUGAGUGCUAGGUGUUGGAUCCUUUCCGGGAUUCAGUGCCGCAGCUAACGCAUUAAGCACUCCGCCUGGGGAGUACGACCGCAAGGUUG